UGAACCCCGUAAUCAGACCACGACUUGGGC
rnacentral:piRNA from 1 species